rnacentral:lncRNA from 1 species
AAUUUACAGUAUAUUCUAUGUGGCGGUGAAGCUGAGACUGUAAUUAUUUACUCGUGGGAUACGAAUUCGAUAAAUUUUUGAUGUUCAGCUUACUCAACAGUAGACAAAUAUUUCGAGAUCUAUGGUGGAGGUUAGGGGUGUCUGAGAGUUUAUGUUUGAGAAUUGCUCAAAAAAAGCAUUAACGAAAGAUCGGACCAAAGACGCAACCUAUUGGUAGAUGAUCUG